GACGAACGCUGGCGGCGUGCUUAAUGAAUGCGAGUCGCGCGAGAACCAGACUGGGGAAACCUUCGGGUGGAAUCAGUCUGGGGAGAGCGGCAAACGGGUGAGUAACACGUGGGUAACCUGCCCCUCAGACGGGGACAACCCGCCGAAAGGCGGACUAAUACCCGAUGGUGAUGUACGAGCUGCGGCUGGUACAUCUAAAGGCUCCGGCGCUGAGGGAGGGAUCCGCGGCCGAUUAGCUUGUUGGUGGGGUAAUGGCCUACCAAGGCGACGAUCGGUAGCCGGUUUGAGAGGAUGAUCGGCCACACUGGGACUGCGACAUGGUCCAGACUCCUACGGGAGUUAGCAUCAGGGAAUCUUGCGCAAUGGGCGAAAGCCUGACGCAGCGACGCCGCGUGGGUGAUGAAGGCCUGCGGGUCGUAAAGCCCUGUCGGGAGGGAAGAACUAGCACUUUUUAGUGCUCUGACUUACCUC
rnacentral:rRNA from 1 species